rnacentral:lncRNA from 1 species
CGAGGUGGGGCAGGCACCGGCCUCGCCACUGCCCACACCAGCUGAUUUUAGAGACAAUGACGUGGCCUCUAGCAGCGGCUUCC